rnacentral:rRNA from 1 species
AUUGAACGCUGGCGGCAUGCCUUACACAUGCAAGUCGAACGGUAACAGGUCUUCGGAUGCUGACGAGUGGCGAACGGGUGGGUAAUACAUCGGAACGUGCCCAGACGUGGGGGAUAACGAGGCGAAAGCUUUGCUAAUACCGCAUACGAUCUAAGGAUGAAAGCAGGGGACCGCAAGGCCUUGCGCGUUUGGAGCGGCCGAUGGCAGAUUAGGUAGUUGGUGGGAUAAAAGCUUACCAAGCCGACGAUCUGUAGCUGGUCUGAGAGGACGACCAGCCACACUGGGACUGAGACACGGCCCAGACUCCUACGGGAGGCAGCAGUGGGGAAUUUUGGACAAUGGGCGAAAGCCUGAUCCAGCAAUGCCGCGUGCAGGAUGAAGGCCUUCGGGUUGUAAACUGCUUUUGUACGGAACGAAAAGGCUCUGGCUAAUACCUGGGGCACAUGACGGUACCGUAAGAAUAAGCACCGGCUAACUACGUG